rnacentral:sRNA from 1 species
CUACUGACCUAGAUAUCUAACUUCAACCUUGAAAGAGAACCUAUUCUUCUUAUAGAUCUAGGAGUAGGAGUAGGAAUAGACUGAGGAACUAAACUGUCUUAGUCAUAGUGAUACUGUCUAAACAUGACAUAUUCCAUGACAAUGAAAAUGAAACCUUUUUUGCCUUUUGUUAUUAGUAGAGCUACUAAUAUUACGUUAAUGCGAAACAUCAUGUUUAAAAACUGGCCACACAUUUCUAUUGUAUUUCGAACACUUCAUCAAAGUGAUGUAUUACAAAAUGCUACUGUAAGCUUUUACUUUUUUUCUUUAAGCUUUUAGAAUGUAAUUUUGCUUUUUAUUGAUAUAAAUUUAUGUCCUAAUAUUGAAAAUGAUACAUUAUUUGAAAAGCAAUGGUACCAUACAUUUUAAAAAUUGUUGAUAAUAUGACAAUAGCACAUUUGAGAGGUUUAAUUAUACACCAGUAAUCUUCUUCUUUAUGAUUGUCCUAAGAGUUGAUUCUUAAGACUUUGGAACUCUAGGCAUAUGGAAGCUUGCCUCUAUCUGGCUGUCUGAACAAACAACUUUCUGGGAAAGAUCCAGCAGAUGUAAAUUUUUUACAUCACAAUUAUAGAUGGCUCAUGUCCCAAGGCGCUUGUGCCAUGAAGCAAGGACAUAGGCCAAGCACACUCCCCCUGUACCACAUCCAUUGUGCAGGUGUCCCCCAUAAAAAUGUCUCCUUGAGGAACGGUGUUUGUUUGGACUUCCUUCUGUUCCUGCCAGUGUAAUGGACUCUGUCCUUAGGCAUCCCAGCAGGGGUUCUAUCUUGCUUCCCUAUUGGCCUAAUCAUCUCCUCUAAUCACAGUUUCCAUCCAAGCACCACGUUAGUGCUGACAAGCAUUGCCACAGACCACAGUUUGAGAACCACUGCUUUAGAAGUCCCUAAUCUAAACCAAACUAAUUCAUCUCCAAAAAUCAAUGUGAAUGGCCACUUCCUUAAUGUACUUGGGCAGCACAGUGGCCAACGAUGCGUCACGUCACUAGUCUCCCUAAGGCCAAAAGCGCAUUUGUUGCCUCCAACUGAGAGUAGGGCAGAAUAGGUCUCUUCACAUACCAAAACAAAUGUGUUUAUAAAACAGUGGUUCUACCACACUUUUGUAUGGCUCUGAGACCUAGCGCUCUUCCAUCAAAGUUGCCUUUGCCCCAUAAUAGGCAAACACUAGCAAGACCACAUUACAAAUGAGUUGUUCUGCUGAGGCUGGUCUGGACACUAAUUAUCAUUUGACAGCUGUGCAAGAUCAGACUCUUAUCCCUCAUGGGGGACACUGUAUGCCAAGGCUGUCUUUUUUUGGUUAGCUUAACUCUUUCAGUGCGUAAUAUUUUGAUUGAAAAUAUUAAGUUUUCAGGACAAACUAAAAUGGGCAAGGGGUUAGUGUUACUUGAAGUAACCUUACUUUUAAAAUAACU